GACGAACGCUGGCGGCGUGCUUAACACAUGCAAGUCGAACGGAAAGGCCCUGCUUUUGUGGGGUGCUCGAGUGGCGAACGGGUGAGUAACACGUGAGUAACCUGCCCUUGACUUUGGGAUAACUUCAGGCAACUGGGGCUAAUACCGGAUAGGAGCUCCUGCUGCAUGGUGGGGGUUGGAAAGUUUGGGCGGAUGGGGAUGGACUCGCGGCUUAUCAGCUUGUUGGUGGGGUAGUGGCUUACCAAGGCUUUGACGGGUAGCCGGCCUGAGAGGGUGACCGGCCACAUGGGGACUGAGAUACGGCCCAGACUCCUACGGGAGGCAGCAGUGGGGAAUAUUGCACAAUGGGCGGAAGCCUGAUGCAGCAACGCCGCGUGCGGGAUGACGGCCUUCGGGUUGUAAACCGCUUUCGCCUGUGACGAAGCGUGAGUGACGGUAAUGGGUAAAGAAGCACCGGCUAACUACGUG
rnacentral:rRNA from 1 species